rnacentral:lncRNA from 1 species
AACGGUUCCUGGCUUGGGGCAUGUAUAUUUUAUAGUUGCUGUAAAGUGUAAGGGUUGGACAUUUUUUAUGCUGUAUCCUCCCUAUUAAUUCUCUAUCAUAAAAUGAUAGUAUUGAUCCAAAGCUAUGUACUGAUAUAUUUGAUAUAGGUAGGACUUAUAAAAAAUAGACAAGGAAAUUCGAUUAAAUUUACAAUACGACCGACACGAGUUAAAAAAGACAAACAAGCAGUUUUUAUCCAAAUGUUUGAUUGAUAUGUUUCACCCAACAUAACUUAGAGAACCGAAGUGAGGGGUUCCAAAUUCACCAAAGAUUACGAAAGUGUCUGAAAUGACAACGAAGUUAGAAUGAAGGUCGACAAAUGGAGACCUAAAGUUUACACCCAGCAGGCAGGUUACAGUCUGGUCUGGAAAAAGUAUUCAAUAUAUAUAAGUCCGGCGAAACAGACAUUCCAGUCAGACAUGCAAACCCCGGCCACAAAAAAACUACGCCCGUUUUUAUUCAUCAUGUUCAUUUCAUGCUAAAUAAUUUUGUUGCAAAUUUUCGUUUUUAAUAGCAAAAAAGUGGACAAGACUAUUGUUUUCAAUCCAGAUACGGC